UCCUCUCCUCUCCUCCAGUAGCUUGUAAGGAGCCAAUGGUCUUUGUAUCCGCCCUUGCCCAGGGCCACGAACGAUGCCUAGCCAAAGUUUCUAUGAGUUCAUUAAAAGCAUUUCUAAGACUUGCCAAUUUCAUCCGUACUCCUCUGAGUGACGUACAGUCACCGUGUUCUUCAGCCAGGCAAACCAAAGCCGGUGAGAGACCUUCUGCGUGACUAUCAAUCAAGUCUGGACAGCAGGGAUUUGAUCCCAUCCCUGGCUCUUCCAUGUGGUCCCAUGAUACAGCACAUGCCGAUCCCAAUACUCCCUGGUCACCCUCACGUGACAAGUAAGCCAUAGCAUUUGAGAAGCGGCUGAAUCGAGGCAGUCUUCAUACAAUGUCGAGCCUUGGAGUGCCGCAAGAAAUCUUCCCUAUGAAAUGGAUGGCUCCGGUCCAAGGGGCAGGCAAGGGUUCUGGUAAUCUAGGCAAAGCCAGAAGAGAUAUUAAAGAUGACCUAGUCCAAAACCAUCUUCUGAUGAGAACACGAAGCUGAGGCAGUCAACACACACAGGUGAGGAAAUCAGGAUGCAGAGAGUGGAAGAAACUUGCUCAAGGUUCCCUUCCUUGAGCAACAGAACUGAACUGAGGAUCCAGGCCUCUUGAUUUCCAGUUCAGAGCUGGUUCCAGUAAAGAAUCUGAAUUCUAUUUCGGCACCCUCCACAAGCCUAAUUUUAAAAACACUGCUCUAUGUGACCUCCCCCUCACCAAAAUGCUACAAAUGUACAAACCAAUGAAGAAAUCAAAAUGUUCUUUCUGAGCACUUUGUAAAGCAUGCUGCUGAAAUGCUGAUUGUUGAAUUGCAUUGUCCAAUCUGCUCAUUGCCCAUUGUAAUAGAAAAGUAAACUGACUGGAAAUGAUCACUGAAAUGGAGAAGGGAAACUGAGGGGAAACUGCUGUUCUCUGGCUAUGACUUGAGAGAGCUGCUACAGGAACCUAAACCUGUUAUUGGUAAUGGAGGUAGAACAGAGAAAUGCUGGGGAUGCCACCACACAGGGAUACUGGUCCUCAGGGGACUUGCCUACAAGGGAAUGCCCUGGGGUUUGCCUAUUGAUCCCUACUGAUUGCUGAAAGGGUCAAACCGGCACAAUCCUCUCUGGCCUCCAUCAACGCUCUUCUCACACCACCACCAGCACUCCCCACCAUCCUCAAUGCAGAAAACCAAAAGAGAGGCCAAACUUUGGAGCUGGAGAGAAACGUUUCUAGUUGGGUGGAGCUAAGAAGCACUUCCUUCCUUCUAAGGAUACCACCAGCCUUCUAAGAAUACAUAUGCUGUCCACCCAAAGGAAUGAAUGGAUUUCCAUUCACUUAAGUGCUGGAAACCCAGCUUCAACUCCCACCAUGCUUCUGAAACUGGGCCCUCAAAGGUCACCAAUCACCCCAGCAGGCCUGCCAAAAUCCAAUCCUCAUUUCUGAGAACCCUCAAGUGGGUCACUAAGCACAAGUCCUUCCCUCCUCGGCCAUGGGAAAGCUUUCCAAGGAGCUGGAUCGGGGAGGAGCCAGGGGCUACCUAACCACUCCCGGUGCUGAAGGAAGGAGGCCCACAGGCCAUGCCACCGUCUUUCAGGGAUCAGUUUCUCACCUUAAGUCAGGGAUCUUACACAACCCGGGUUCCUCCUCCUACCUUUCUGGACACCUCUUUGGACUCCUCAAAUGCCUCCUCCUCAUCUUCCCACCCACUAAAUAGGCAAGUUGCUCCAAGUUCAAUCAUACAGCUUUUGCUACAAUUUCUCCAUCCUUCUGCUUCCACUCUAGCCUAUUUGUAGAUGGAACAUGUGCUGGGCCCUUCUGUUUGCAUGCCCUGUCCUACCCCUCGAAACCAGCUUUCUUCAGAAGAGGCUCCUAUUGACUGAGCCAAGCCUAGAGAUAGGAGGUCCUGGAUUCAGAUCAAGUCUCCAAUACUUUCUAGCUGUGUGACCCUGGGCAAGUCACUUGACCUCCAUUGCCUAGCCCUUACUGCUCUUCUGUCUUGGAACACAUACCCAGUAUUGAUGGUAAGACAAGAAGUUAAAGGUUUAAAAAAAAAAGAGGGAUCAUUUUGCUAAUUCCUCUGGCUUGGCUUCACAGUGUUUAGAGCACAAGACUUGAGAGUCAAAUAGAGCAAAGUUCAUAUCCGACCUCAGACACUGGCUCUGUGACCUUGGGAAAGUCACUCCACCUCUGCCUCACUUUCCUCAUCUAUAAAUUGGGGGCAAUAAUAGCCUUCACUUUCCAAGGUUGUUGUAAGGAUCAAGUAAGGCAAUAAAUAUAUUUGUAAAGUG